GACCAAGCCUUCCACACACAGCUGAGAACUGUUCUCCAAACCUUAGCAGUCACCACUGAGAAAUACCGUGGUAAACUGUAUCACUCUAGCGCCCCGGUCUGAGCCCACCACAUGGACAGCCAGUCGCAAACUGGAGCUGUGGGAUCAUGUUUAAUCCGGUUGUGGAGAUGGGGAAGUGAACAGCAGAGACUCCUCAUGCAGCAAGGACCUGGUACCUCCAGAACAGCGGUGUCCAGAUCGGAAUUCCCUUGUGCACAGGGCCCAGCUUGCCCAACUAUGUGGAAAGCUUCAGUCAACCAUGGCUCCACUUGGAACAUCAGAUCCCACAGGCCAAGACUCGACCCCUCCACAGGAUGGACCUCACUUCACACAAUAGCUUCAGGUCCUGGCUGGUACUGGUGCUCUGGACAGAUUUGUAUAAACUGGGAGUGGGGGGUGGUUAUGCCUUGAAUUUGAGUUCCUCUGAGUAUACUUUGUCACUUGCUAGAAUUGUUCGUAGAACUCUAAAAGACAUUUUACAUACAUUGAUCUUUUUAUUUUCAAGGGGGCAGCUUUAAGAUAGAGCAUGACGCAGAGGUUCUGAGGGAUAGGAAGGCUGUCAUGGCCUUGGCGGGCACUACCCUCCACAGCUCCCACAUCUGGAAAUUCUCUGAAUCCUACAGUUCCUCUCUGUUGGUGGUUGUGGGAAAUAUAAAAAAAUGAACCAGCGAG
rnacentral:lncRNA from 1 species